UACGAGGGGGGCAAGCGUUGUUCGGAAUUACUGGGCGUAAAGCGUGCGUAGACGGUUAUGUAAGUCGGGUGUGAAAGCCCCGGGCUCAACCUGGGAAUUGCAUUCGAGACUGCGUAGCUAGGGUGCGGAAGAGGGAAGCGGAAUUUCCGGUGUAGCGGUGAAAUGCGUAGAUAUCGGAAGGAACACCAGUGGCGAAAGCGGCUUCCUGGUCCAGCACCGACGUUCAGGCACGAAAGCGUGGGGAGCAAACAGG
rnacentral:rRNA from 1 species